UACGUAGGGUGCAAGCGUUAAUCGGAAUUACUGGGCGUAAAGCGUGCGCAGGCGGUGAUGUAAGACAGGUGUGAAAUCCCCGGGCUUAACCUGGGAACUGCAUUUGUGACUGCAUCGCUGGAGUGCGGCAGAGGGGGAUGGAAUUCCGCGUGUAGCAGUGAAAUGCGUAGAUAUGCGGAGGAACACCAGUGGCGAAAGCGACUUUCUGGUCCUUAACUGACGCUGAGGCGCGAAAGCAUGGGGAGCGAACGGG
rnacentral:rRNA from 1 species